GAUGAACGCUGGCGGCGUGCUUAACACAUGCAAGUCGAACGGACUUUUAUUGAAGCCUAGCGAUAUAAAAGUUAGUGGCGGACGGGUGAGUAACGCGUGAAUAACCUGCCUUAUACUGGGGGACAACAGUUGGAAACGACUGCUAAUACCGCAUAAGCGCACGGGACCGCAUGGUCUAGUGUGAAAAACUCCGGUGGUAUAAGAUGGAUUCGCGUCUGAUUAGCUAGUUGGUGAGGUAACGGCUCACCAAGGCGACGAUACAUAGGGGGACUGAGAGGUUAACCCCCCCACAUUGGUACUGAGACACGGACCAAACUCCUACGGGAGGCAGCAGUGAGGAAUAUUGGCAAUGGACGCAAGUCUGACCCAGCGACGCCGCGUGCGGGAAGAAGGUCUUCGGAUUGUAAACCGCUGUAGACAGGGACGAACAAAUGACGGUACCUGUAAAGUAAGCCACGGCUAACUACGUG
rnacentral:rRNA from 1 species